rnacentral:sRNA from 1 species
AGCAGCAGGUGGAACUGCAGAGGAGGCGGGGCGCUGAAGUCGGAGACAGUGGGGUCUUCUAGCACCCGGAGGCUGGGCUGUGCUAGGGAAGGGGACUGGAGCAGGAUCCCUCUGUGACCCAGCUGACCAACGUCCCGCAGGGCGGCCUGGCGGAAUUCAACCCCUUCUCAGAGACAAAUGCAGCGACAACAGUUCCUGUCACCCAACUCCCUGGGUCCUCACAGCCAGCGGUUCUCCAGCCAUCAGUGGAACCAACCCAGCCGACCCCCCAGGUAGUGCUGACAAAGAACUCUGGCCUUUUCUCUCCAGUGAGGGAAUCAUCCAGACCAGUAGCUGAGCCCUGAGGCUGGGGGCAAGCAGAGAGCUUUCAGCCUUGGCCCCCUAAGGGCCCUCUUGCUAAUUUGUUCGGAGCUGGUCACCUACAAGUAGAGGGGCUGCUCUGCCUAUUAAUAUCCUUACUCCCUCCAUCCCACCCACCACCACCACUGAGAAAUAAGCUCUACUCACCAGGCCGGGCUCCUCGGUGCCUCCAGAGA